AACUUUCGACAAUGGAUCUCUUGGUUCUGGCAUCGAUGAAGUACGCAGCGAAAUGCGAUAAGUAAUGUGAAUUGCAGAAUUUAGUGAAUCAUCGAAUCUUUGAACGCACAUUGCGCCCCUUGGUAUUCCGAGGGGCAUGCCUGUUCGAGCGUCAUAUAACCAAUCAAGCCUGGCUUGGUAUUGGGGCCCGCCCUCCAGCGGCCUCUAAACUCAGUGGCGGUGCCGUUCGGCUCUCAGCGUAGUAAUUCUUCUCGCUACAGGGCCUCGCGGUUGCUUGCCAUAACCCCAACUUCUUAAGGUUGACCUCGGAUCAGGUAGGGAUACCCGCUGAACUUAAGCAUAUCAAUAAGCGGAGGCU
rnacentral:misc_RNA from 1 species